GGCCCGGUCGCGGACGGUUCCGCGCCUGCGUACGAUAAAAGAGUGUAUUUGGUGUUUCCGCAGGAUCGCUCGUUCGAUUCGAGCCCGGGUCA